rnacentral:rRNA from 1 species
UACGAAGGGUGCAAGCGUUACUCGGAAUUACUGGGCGUAAAGCGUGCGUAGGCGGUUUGUUAAGUCUGAUGUGAAAGCCCCGGGCUCAACCUGGGAAUGGCAUUGGAUACUGGCAGGCUAGAAUGUGGUAGAGGGUGGUGGAAUUCCCGGUGUAGCGGUGAAAUGCGUAGAGAUCGGGAGGAACAUCCGUGGCGAAGGCGGCCACCUGGACCAACAUUGACGCUGAGGCA